CAACUUUGAAGAAAUAACUGAAGAAAACAUACAUGUCAGUAGAGGCGGCACUGCAUAAUUUAAUCCACUAUAAAAGCAAGUAAAAACAGGAAGCAUCUCAUUCACUUUCGGAACACCUUAUUUUCAACAUUUUUAUUUUCCAUCCAAAAAAGUAACAACUGAUAAUUUGGGUAUGGGUAUCUUUAUCCAAAUAGCUACUUUGAUGAUUGUUCAGCAGCUCUUCCAUCUGGCAAGUUGUGAAACUAUAUGCAGUCCAUCCAGACCAGUAAGGAACAGUGGGACAAGCCUCAGAUCACCGCACAGAUGAGCUUCAGCCGAAGUAUUCAUCAUCUCUUGAUACAGACCCCAGCGAAGAAGGAAACCCCGGGCCGUUGAACAUCUCGAAGUUCACUUUAGUGGGUGUUGGGGCCAUUUUUGGUGUUUUGGUUAUUGGGCUAUGGGGUGGCACUUUAAAACGAGGCAACGGAAACUUAUUUAAACAAUGCUGAUUAGCAGCAGGUGUUGUGCACAAAGAAGGUCAAUGGUUUUUAACUGUGGCACGUCAUGGUGAAAGUUGAAUACCGAGGCAAGAAUCAAGCAUUUUCUUUAUAAUAAAGAUUAAAGGACUUUAAUCUAUAUUAUGUUGACUAAUUCAAAGGAUUGGCAUAUCCAACUGGAAGAUUUUGUGUUUGUUAGUUUGUUUUUGGACUCACGCCAAGGAGCCACACGUACUAAACCGAUCCAACAAAGAAAUGUGCGUCAACAGUGGGCCUUAGCGCCCUCAGCAGACGUGCCCUCAGCAGACGUGUCCUCAAUCAUAUCAACUCGGUAGGCUGUGCUGAGGAAGUAGGCAAAUCUGUUCUGUCAGUAACUAUGUUGUAACUGUGCAAUUUCAUUUGAUGGUUGUAUUUUCAAACUUUACAGAAACUUCAGAUUUGACUCAUUUAUAGGAAUUACUGUAGUAACCAUUUCCAUUAUCUGAAAAAGUUAAGACUUUCUAAGAUAGCCUUGUUAUGUAUUUUAUACUGAAUUGAAACUGUAGAAUACAUUUUAAUUCAAACCUUAAUUUCAUUUUAUUGUUGCCGUACAUGGCUUGGGUAUGGGCAAGUUAAGAAUGCUUUGAUCUCACACUGUGCCUUUCAAUGGAAAAAUAAAAUCAAUCAUCUCUUGAAUCUUAAGGACAUCGGGGUAACAUCGGGGUUGGGUAACAUCCUAAGAACAUAACAAACAAAACAGAAACCAGUCUAUUGCAAGAGCAUGAAGUACUGAAAGCUUUCAUGCAGUCAUGUACAUUCUCUGAGAAUGAACCUAAACCUGUGCAGAGAAUAAAAAGCAUAAAACAUUA